rnacentral:rRNA from 1 species
AUUGAACGCUGGCGGCAGGCCUAACACAUGCAAGUCGAACGAGUGGCGGACGGGUGAGUAAUGUCUGGGAAACUGCCUGAUGGAGGGGGAUAACUACUGGAAACGGUAGCUAAUACCGCAUACCAUCGGAUGUGCCCAGAUGGGAUUAGCUAGUAGGUGGGGUAAAGGCUCACCUAGGCGACGAUCCCUAGCUGGUCUGAGAGGAUGACCCGCCCACAGUGAAAGGGGAAACGGGCCCAAACCCCCAGGGAGGGAGCAGGUGGGAAGAUUUCAAAAUGGGGGGAAGCCUGAUGGCGCCAUGGCGGGGGUAAGAAGAAGGCCUUCGGGGUGGAAAGGUAUUUCAGGGGGGAGGCGUUACCCGCAGAAGAAGCACCGGCUAACUCCGUGCCAGCAGCCGCGGUAAUUC